UCAAAGAACCUUCCUCUGCCUUUUG
rnacentral:piRNA from 1 species